rnacentral:rRNA from 1 species
UACGAAGGGGGCUAGCGUUGUUCGGAAUUACUGGGCGUAAAGCGCACGUGGGCGGCUUUGUAAGUUAGAGGUGAAAGCCCGGGGCUCAACCCCGGAAUUGCCUUUAAGACUGCAUCGCUUGAACGUCGGAGAGGUGAGUGGAAUUCCGAGUGUAGAGGUGAAAUUCGUAGAUAUUCGGAAGAACACCAGUGGCGAAGGCGGCUCACUGGACGACUGUUGACGCUGAGGUGCGAAAGCGUGGGGAGCAAACAGG